rnacentral:rRNA from 1 species
GUCCCAGCAGCCGCGGUAAUACGUAGGGGGCAAGCGUUAUCCGGAAUCACUGGGCGUAAAGGGUGCGUAGGCGGCCGAUCAAGUCCGGGGUGAAAGGCUACGGCUCAACCGUAGUAAGCCUUGGAAACUGAUUGGCUUGAGUGCAGGAGAGGAGAGUGGAAUUCCUAGUGUAGCGGUGAAAUGCGUAGAUAUUAGGAGGAACACCAGUGGCGAAGGCGACUCUCUGGACUGUAACUGACGCUGAGGCACGAAAGCGUGGGGAGCAAACAGGAUUAGAUACCCUGGUAGUCCACGCCGUAAACGAUGAGUGCUAGGUGUUGGAGCCGACAGGCUUCGGUGCCGCAGCUAACGCAUUAAGCACUCCGCCUGGGGAGUACGGUCGCAAGACUGAAACUCAAAGGAAUUGACGGGGACCCGCACAAGCAGCGGAGCAUGUGGUUUAAUUCGAAGCAACGCGAAGAACCUUACCAGGACUUGACAUCCCUUUGACCGGUCCGUAAUGGGACCUUCCCUUCGGGGCAAAGGUGACAGGUGGUGCAUGGUUGUCGUCAGCUUCGUGUCGUGAGAUGUUGGGUUAAGUCCCGCAACGAGCGCAACCCUUGUCUUUAGUUGCCAGCAUGUAAUGAUGGGCACUCUAGAGAGACUGCCGGGGAUAACUCGGAGGAAGGUGGGGAUGACGUCAAAUCAUCAUGCCCCUUAUGUUCUGGGCUACACACGUGCUACAAUGGCUGGUACAACGGGCAGCGAAGGAGUAAUCUGGAGCAAAUCCUAAAAGCCAGUCUCAGUUCGGAUUGUGGGCUGCAACUCGCCCACAUGAAGUCGGAGUUGCUAGUAAUCGUGGAUCAGAAUGCCGCGGUGAAUGCGUUCCCGGGUCUUGUACACACCGCCCGUCACACCAUGGGAGUUGGGGGCACCCGAAGUCAGCUAUCUAACCGCAAGGAGGAAGCUGCCGAAGGUGAAUUCAAUAACUAGGGUGAAGUCGUAACAAGGUAACC